rnacentral:tRNA from 1 species
AGAAACUUAGGAUAGCUAAACCGAAGGCCUUCAAAGCCUUAGACAAGAGUUAAACCCUCUUAGUUUCUG